rnacentral:rRNA from 1 species
AACGAACGCUGGCGGCAUGCCUAACACAUGCAAGUCGAACGAGACCUUCGGGUCUAGUGGCGCACGGGUGCGUAACGCGUGGGAAUCUGCCCUUCGGUUGGGAAUAACUGAGAGAAAUUUCAGCUAAUACCUUAUAAUGUCUUCGGACCAAAGAUUUAUCGCCGAGGGAUGAGCCCGCGUAGGAUUAGGUAGUUGGUGGGGUAAUGGCCUACCAAGCCGACGAUCCUUAGCUGGUCUGAGAGGAUGAUCAGCCACACUGGGACUGAGACACGGCCCAGACUCCUACGGGAGGCAGCAGUGGGGAAUAUUGGACAAUGGGCGAAAGCCUGAUCCAGCAAUGCCGCGUGAGUGAUGAAGGCCUUAGGGUUGUAAAGCUCUUUUACCCGGGAUGAUAAUGACAGUACCGGGAGAAUAAGCUCCGGCUAACCCCGUG